UUUCGAAAUUUAAUUUUUUUACCAACAAAUACAACAUCUACCAACAUCCAAAUCUUGAAAAAGAAUAAGAAGAAGAGUCUUCCUUAAAUCAAUGAACAAAAUGAAGGAAAUUUUGAAGCUCUUUUACUGCGAAAUUUGUUACCUUUAAAUGAAUAAAAUGGUACAUGAAACAAAAAUAAACAAUAAAAAGUGGGAUUAGG
rnacentral:lncRNA from 1 species